AACGAACGCUGGCGGCAGGCUUAACACAUGCAAGUCGAGCGCCCCGCAAGGGGAGCGGCCGACGGGUGAGUAACGCGUGGGAACGUACCUUCUGGUUCGGAACAACUCCGGGAGACUGGAGCUAAUACCGGAUAAGCCCUAACGGGGAAAGAUUUAUCGCCGAAAGAUCGGCCCGCGUCUGAUUAGCUAGUUGGUGAGGUAACGGCUCACCAAGGCGACGAUCAGUAGCUGUUCUGAGAGGAUGAUCAGCCACACUGGGACUGAGACACGGCCCAGACUCCUACGGGAGGCAGCAGUGGGGAAUAUUGGACAAUGGGCGCAAGCCUGAUCCAGCCAUGCCGCGUGAGUGAUGAAGGCCUUAGGGUUGUAAAGCUCUUUUGUCCGGGAAGAUAAUGACUGUACCGGAAGAAUAAGCCCCGGCUAACUUCGU
rnacentral:rRNA from 1 species